UACGGUAGGGUCCGAGCGUUGUCCGGAAUCACUGGGCGUAAAGGGCGCGUAGGCGCUUUUCAAGCGUGCGGUGAAAGCUCGGGGCUUAACUCCGAGUCUGCCGUGCGAACUGGGAGGCUUGAGUCUGGUAGAGGUCGAUGGAAUUCCGGGUGUAGCGGUGGAAUGCGUAGAGAUCCGGAAGAACACCGGUGGCGAAGGCGGUCGACUGGGCCAGUACUGACGCUGGAGGCGCGACAGCGUGGGGAGCAAACAGG
rnacentral:rRNA from 1 species